CAGAGUUCUUGCUCUUUUUGCUUUGUUUUUGUGCUCAUUUAGCACUGGGGUGCUUAUUCAUGGUGUUAAAUUGCCCUGUAUGGAUGCCCACAAAGCGCAACAUUCCUCACUGCCUGCAUAAGUAAAGCAGGAGCUUCACUUGGCACCGCUAACAUUUUAAGACCAGAGAAGCUACUGUUGUAUUCAAUUGGACUCAGCCUGUCUCCACUGCUGUACUAGGGAUGAGAGGUGGCUGCCACUUGGACAGACUGCCACUUGGGACUGACAGAUCAGAAGAGGAUCGAUUUAGAUACAGGGGGCCCAGCAGGAGCAAGGAGAUGAAGUACUCUAACUCUUCCAGGCAAUAUCACAGAAAACAGAAUUAACAUGGGAGCUUUUGUCACAAUCUCAACAGACCAUUCAAGUGAUGAAAACGUGGAGCUGUUUCACCUCUUCCCUUCCAGGUU